UGAAUACGAGACGCUAAGGCGUCGAAGUAGUGUAUGUCAUACUUCCAAGAAAAGCUUGCACUGUCAUAGAUAAAAAACGCCUGUACCAUAACCGACACAGGUGGGUAGGUAGAGUAUACUAAGGGGCGCGAGAUAACUCUCUCUAAGGAACUCGGCAAAAUAACUCCGUAACUUCGGGAGAAGGAGUGCCUUAUUCGUAAGGUUGCAAUAACAAGAUCCAAGCAACUGUUUAUCAAAAACACAGGUCUCCGCUAAGUCGUAAGACGAUGUAUGGGGGCUGACGCCUGCCCAGUGCCAGAAGGUUAAAGAAGUUGGUUAGCAAUUGCGAAGCUGAUAACUGAAGCCCUGGUGAACGGCGGCCGUAACAAUAACGGUCCUAAGGUAGCGAAAUUCCUUGUCGGGUAAGUUCCGACCCGCACGAAAGGCGUAAUGAUUUGGAUACUGUCUCGGAGAGGGGCUCGGUGAAAUAGACUUGUCUGUGAAGAUGCGGACUACCUGCACCAGGACAGAAAGACCCUAUGAAGCUUUACUGUAACUUGAAAUUGAAAUUGGACUUUAUUCGCGCAGUAUAGGUGGGAGGCGUUGAUUAUAAUCUUGUGGGAUUAUUGGAGCCAUCAGUGAGAUACCACUCUUGUAAUGUUAGAUUUCUAACUUUGAAUCAUUAUCUGGUCAAAGAACAGUUUCAGGCGGGCAGUUUGACUGGGGCGGUCGCCUCCUAAACGGUAACGGAGGCGUACAAAGGUUUCCUCUGAACGGUUAGAAAUCGUAUCUAGAGUGUAAAGGCAUAAGGAAGCUUGACUGUGAGACCUACAAGUCGAGCAGGGACGAAAGUCGGUCUUAGUGAUCUGACGGUACUGAGUGGAAAGGCCGUCACUCAACGGAUAAAAGUUACUCUAGGAUAACAGGCUGAUCUCCCCCAAGAGUUCACAUCGACGGGGAGGUUUGGCACCUCGAUGUCGGCUCAUCGCAUCCUGGGGCGGUAGUACGUCCCAAGGGUCGGCUGUUCGCCCAUGAAAGCGGUACGCGAGCUGGGUUCAGAACGUCGUGAGACAGUUCGGUCCAUAUCCGGUGUAGGCGUUAGAAUAUUGGGAGGAGCCUUCUUUAGUACGAGAGGACCGAGAAGGACAUACCUCUGGUGUACCAGUUAUCGUGCCAACGGUAAACGCUGGGUAGCUAUGUAUGGAGUGGAUAACCGCUGAAAGCAUCUAAGUGGGAAGCCCCCCUCAAGAUAAGUAUUCUCAUC
rnacentral:rRNA from 1 species